rnacentral:rRNA from 1 species
UACGGAGGGGGCUAGCGUUGUUCGGAAUUACUGGGCGUAAAGCGCACGUAGGCGGCUUUGUAAGUUAGAGGUGAAAGCCCAGGGCUUAACCCUGGAAUUGCCUUUAAGACUGCAUCGCUAGAAUCGUGGAGAGGUGAGUGGAAUUCCGAGUGUAGAGGUGAAAUUCGUAGAUAUUCGGAAGAACACCAGUGGCGAAGGCGACUCACUGGACACGUAUUGACGCUGAGGUGCGAAAGCGUGGGGAGCAACCAGG